rnacentral:rRNA from 1 species
AGAGUUUGAUCAUGGCUCAGACUGAACGCUGGCGGCGUGGCUAAGACAUGCAAGUCGUACGGGGCCCGCAAGGGUCCAGUGGCGAACGGGUGAGUAAUGAAUCGCUAAUGUGCCCCGGACUCUGGGAUAGCUUUCCGAAAGGAAAGGUAAUACCAGAUGAGACCACGAACAGGCAUCUGUUUGUGCUCAAAGGUCCGCCGGUCUGGGAGCAGGCGAUUUCGUAUCAGCUAGUUGGUGAGGUAACGGCUCACCAAGGCGACGACGCGUAGCCGGGCUGAGAGGUCGGCCGGCCACAUUGGGACUGAGACACUGCCCAGACUCCUACGGGGGGCUGCAGUAACGAAUCUUCCACAAUGCACGAAAGUGUGAUGGAGCGACGCCGCGUGUAGGAUGAAGUCCUUCGGGAUGUAAACUACUGUCAGGGGAAAGAAAGUUCUGAUCUACCCCAGAGGAAGAGGCGGCUAACUCUGUGCCAGCAGCCGCGGUAAGACAGAGGCCUCGAGCGUUAGGCGGAAUCACUGGGCUUAAAGCGUGUGUAGGCGGAAGCGUAAGUACCUUGUGAAAUCCCACGGCUCAACCGUGGAACUGCUGGGUAUACUGCGUUUCUUGAGCAAUCUAGGGGCGAGUGGAACGGAUGGUGGAGCGGUGAAAUGCAUAGAUAUCAUCCGGAACGCCUGUGGUGAAGACGACUCGCUGGGGA